GUGCCAGCAGCCGCGGUAAAACGUAGGACGCAAGCGUUAUCCGGAGUUACUGGGCGUAAAGGGCGGGCAGGCGGUCUGUCAAGUGGGGUGUGAAAUCUCCCAGCUUAACUGGGAGAGGCCAUUCCAAACUGCCAGACUGGAGGGCAGUAGAGGUGCGUGGAAUUCCGGGUGGAGUGGUGAAAUGCGUAGAGAUCCGGAGGAACACCAGAGGCGCAGGCGGCGCACUGGGCUGCACCUGACGCUCAACCGCGACAGCCAGGGGAGCGAACGGGAUUAGAUACCCCCGUAGUCC
rnacentral:rRNA from 1 species